GGCCAGGUGGGGAUAAGGAAUCAAUGUAGAAUCUAGGAAAGAGCAGCAAAGGAAUGUGAUGAGCAAAUUCUCAUCUUCAGAUGUUAGAAGGUACAAAAUCAAUGGGUGGUGCCAAUUUUUUCAGUAUUGGCAAUUUAAGGGUAGCAUCUUCUUAAGGUGAAAUUGGGGAAGUUGACCCUAUCACAACUAUGUAGAAAACAUGAUGAGUAGAAAUAGAUCUAUGGUUGGAAAGUUUCAUUCCCCAACCAAAUUGGGAUGGAUAUAUUGAGAAAUUGUCUACAUAUUUCAAGAGGCCCAAGCACCAUUUUCGUAUAC
rnacentral:lncRNA from 1 species